ensembl:lncRNA
AAAUUUUCUUCCUUUGUGGUGCUUAAAGAGACAAAUUAUGAUUGGAAAAACUUGUCAUAAAUGCAUAAAUGUCUCUUUUCAUUAAAUAAAUAACUUCCUGCAGGAACUACUUGGAACUAUUUCCUCUGGUUCCACUGGCCAGACAUGAAUUUCAUUUUGAGGUCAACUGUCCCAUGAAAAAAUGAAACGUCUCCAGUUUCUCUGACUCUGACCUCCUCGGUCAGUUGUUUCUGCCUCUCCAGCCUUCUCACCUGCCAAUCAGGUGUUCCUUAUGCUCCACCCCCUCAGGUUAUAAGCACGAGGCAUUUCAGCCACUACAGAACAGAUUUGCAGGUCACACAUCACCAGCCAUUGACAGAUGACUUCUUACAGGUUGCAUGGUGCAAACCGCAAGUCUUAUUGUUCCCUGUGUGUCUGUAAGCCUGUCGAAGCGACGUGUUUGUUUUUUCCCCCAGCUUUUUAAAUCUGUUUCCAUUUAAUCUGUACCAUCUGUUCUUAUGAUCAUUACAUGCUGGGAAUCUAUACGUGAAUAUUUAGCUGUUCAUAAUGUUGGCUAAACUAUUACCUAGAGACUGCCUGUAUAUUCGCUUUAUAUAGCCUAUACUCUUGUCUUUUUUUAAUACUGCUUGAUUCUUAAAUAAAAGGGGAAUGCUAUGAAAGCAAAAUAAAAUGAGUACACAGUAAGAAAACACGUCCCUUGUAUUGCAACUUGAAAAGAAAGGUCUGUACUCUGUCCUUGUCCUUACUUCUUUUUCUUUCUUUUUUUUGAGAAAAGCUGAAUAUCAACAGCUGAUCUGAGCCAGGUCACUGUGGACGUAUGUAGCUCUCUCCCUUUAUAGGCCGCACUUGAGCAUUUCUUCUGUACAUAGAAGCAUUUCAAGCUGGUGGAGAAUAAAAUGUGGCAGCAAACAUUAAUAGGAAGAUGAGAAAAUUUGAUCCAAGUUGAUUUUUAAAGGGGUUGGUGAUUUUUUUUUUGUUUUAUCCAACCAGUGUAGCUUGUAAAACAUGACAUUAAAACUGCCUCCUGUUUGUCA